GAUGAACGCUAGCGGCAGGCCUAAUACAUGCAAGUCGAACGGUAAGGCCCUUUCGGGGGUACACGAGUGGCGGACGGGUGCGUAACGCGUAUGCAACAUGCCUUCCAGCGGGGGAUAUACCAGGGAAACUUGGCGCAAUACCCCAUAGAAUUACGGGACCGCAUGGUCUUGUGAUUAAAACUCCGGUGCUGGGAGAUUGGCAUGCGUGACAUUAGCUAGUUGGCGGGGUAACGCCCACCAAGGCGACGAUGUCUAGCUGGUCUGAGAGGAUGAUCAGCCACACUGGGACUGAGACACGGCCCAGACUCCUACGGGAGGCAGCAGUAGGGAAUAUUGGACAAUGGGGGGAACCCUGAUCCAGCCAUGCCGCGUGUGUGAAGAAGGCCCUGGGUUGUAAAGUACACUUUAAGACGAGGAGGAAGGUUUUAGUUUAAGUU
rnacentral:rRNA from 1 species